AAGAAAUUAGGUUCAAGCCUCUAAACCGAGGGCCCUUCAAAGCCA
rnacentral:tRNA from 1 species